rnacentral:rRNA from 1 species
GCAACGCCGUGUGAGUGAUGAAGGCCUUCGGGUCGUAAAACUCUGUCCUAUGGGAAGAAAACAAUGACGGUACCAUAGGAGGAAGCCCCGGCUAACUACGUGCCAGCAGCCGCGGUAAUACGUAGGGGGCAAGCGUUAUCCGGAAUCACUGGGCGUAAAGGGUGCGUAGGUGGCUGAUCAAGCCAGGGGUGAAAGGCAUUGGCUCAACCAAUGUAAGCCUUUGGAACUGAUCGGCUUGAGUGCAGGAGAGGUAAGUGGAAUUCCUAGUGUAGAGGUGAAAUUCGUAGAUAUUAGGAGGAACACCAGUGGCGAAGGCGACUUACUGGACUGUAACUGACACUGAGGCACGAAAGCGUGGGGAGCGAACAGGAUUAGAUACCCUGGUAGUCCACGCCGUAAACGAUGAA